UAAUUGGAUCUAAUUGGAAAACUACCUUGGC
rnacentral:piRNA from 1 species